UAAUACGGGGGGAGCAAGCGUUGUUCGGAUUUACUGGGCGUAAAGGGCGCGUAGGCGGCGCGACAAGUCACUUGUGAAAUCUCCGGGCUCAACUCGGAACGGCCAAGUGAUACUGUCGUGCUAGAGUGCGGAAGGGGCAACUGGAAUUCUCGGUGUAGCGGUGAAAUGCGUAGAUAUCGAGAGGAACACCUGCGGCGAAGGCGGGUUGCUGGGCCGACACUGACGCUGAGGCGCGAAAGCUAGGGGAGCGAACGGGAUUAGAUACCCCGGUAGUCCUAGCCUUAAACGAUGAAUGCUUGGUGUCCGGGGUUAUAUAGUCCUCGGGUGCCGUCGCUAACGCUUUUAGCAUUCCGCCUGGGGAGUACGGUCGCAAGACUG
rnacentral:rRNA from 1 species